rnacentral:lncRNA from 1 species
CGGGCGGGCAGGGGCGCGGGUGCCCCGGCGAGUCAGCCAUCUUCUGCCUCGCCGCCGGCCUGCAUGGGAGCGGCGCGGCGGGGCGGGCGGCGGCGGCGGCGCGGGCGUGCGGAGGCAGCGCGGAGAGAGCCGGCCCCGCGCCUGCUGUGGCGCUGCUGGCGGGCUGCCGCGGAGGGGGCGGCGGCGGGGACGGGAGGCCGGCCUCGGCCCGGCGGCGGGCGGGGCUUGCCGCCACCGAAUCGGCCGCCGCUGCCCGCCAUGCAGCCGGGGGGGGGUGACGCGCCCAGCGUGGGGCGGAGCGCGGGCGGACCCCCGCCCCUGCUCGGAGGUGGGAUGGGGGAGCCGCGAACCCGCGGACGCGCGUGGAUCCCCCCCCUCGAGGAGCUGCCUGCCUGCCCGCCCGGCCGGGGUGCCCGCGGUCGGCGUCGCGAUCGUACGGGCGGGUCGCGCUGCGGCGUGAAACGGCGCGUUUUCGAGGGAGAGCGGCUGAAAGAUGGGUGAAGUGAGUUCCACGUGGGGAUGAACGGACUCCUCGCGAAACCCCGGCUGAGUCCGACAGAAAUCAGUUGGUGCUGCGUGCGAGAACGUCUCGUUUACACUUCGCAAAACAGCCGGUGGUUUUCUGAGCGCAAUACUGAGCAAAACUCCUUUGAUCGCUUCAGGGCUGAAGGGAGCCUCGCUUGCCGGGGCACAGUGGGGAGGGACGGGGAGCGCAACCCCCCGUGGCACCGGGAAUGGGAAGAAAGCGGGGUUUUGUGUGGCCUCAGCUGCGAGAGUAGAGAGCGUCACUGGCGGGAGAGCAGCAGCCCUCAGCCCGCUGAGGGAUCCCAGCGCGCUCCAGAGCAGCGGGGUCACGGCCGCGGCCAGGCGAGGUGCUGCUUCUCCCCUGGCAGCACGAGAGAAUCCAAAGCUGGGAACACCAGGUCCCUUCGUGUGCAAGAUUAGUCUUUUCUUGCCUGUUGUAUGUUUAAAAUGUAAUGUAUUCUGAACCUUCUGGGACCUAACUCGCAGCUCCACAGGUAAGCUCCAAAAAUACGGGGCUUCCUCCUGCUGCACCGCACCACCAGCAGCAACCACGUCCUUCUUCUCUAUUCACAGGAUUCUGUUACCGAUGAGUCCGCGUGCGCAACCUCUCAUCAAACGCAAGAGGUGCUCCCAGGAUCUCAGCAUCUCUCUCCCAUGGCAGGGACGGGAUAGGCAGCACGAGGGGAAGUUGCUUAUAAGCACCGUCGUGUAGCGUCAGAGCUGCAGGUUUGAAAGCUCUGAGAGCCAACCUCACAGAACCUUCCUGCUCUGAGGCACCAGCACCUUGCUCAUUCACGAAAUCACUCUGAGGAAGAAGGCAAAAUGAAUUUUUGCAUUAGGGACACAUCACUGGUUUCUCCGUAGUGCUGAUAACACAACUUUAGUGAAAAUCUCGGACCUUUUGCUACACAGAAUAACCAUGUUGCCCUGAAUGGUUAUUGUUUAGUGAAACAUCUGAAAACACAUAAUAGACUACUUGUUUGCAACGCUUGCUAUAGAUUUUGUAAUGAAGUGCCGUUGCGCUGCAUCAAUUUGACAGUUCGAGUUGAUAAUUUGACAGAAAGAUUAAUCCUAAACUCCCAGCAUAAACAGAAUUCCCUUUAAUGUCAGAAGGGACUUUGUAACUGCCAGCCCAAACGCUGCGGAUGGGCUUCAGCAGGUUACAGAGAGCGUCUUCAGGAUCAAAUUUGACAUUCCUCUUCCUGACUAACAGUUGGUAGUUGAAAAUAGAACACCUCUCCCAGUUCUGAAUUCUGACCCUCACUUCUUGCUCACCCAAACCGAGGACUUCCAGACUUCUUUUCCCAAACGCUCACCGCGAAGGCUUUUGAAUGCAGAUGUUCACUCGUGUCUCCUGACAGUAGGCUCAGUUUUCUCAGCUACUUUUAGUAAGCUCCUAAAAACAGCCCACGGUCCCUCAGAACCUCAUCAACAACUGGCUAAAAGCCACGGUCUCACUUAUUAUUAUAUUACAUAUUCUUCAGAAGUUGUUCUUCCAGUGGCAACAUAUGGAGGACCAUCAACCGUCAAGACGGAAGUUCAUGCAACUGUCAAGACUGAAUUUCAUGCAUUCAGAAUGCUUAGGCACCAUCUGACACUCGUAGGCCAACCAGCCAUUCCGUGCAUACAGAAACACGCCUGUGAACUUCUCCCUGCAGUCAGCUCCUUCAGCUCCCCACUUCCACGCCAGUGAUGUUAUUUCACCCACACCUUGCAGAAGGGGCGCAUUCCACUCAUUCCUGAGCUGGGACGAGCGCCCGCAGCAUUACUCACCCACAGCAGUGUCUGUAGAUCCCUGUCUGCUGUGGAUACUAAUCUCAAUCCAGAGCUUCCUCAGACGAUUAGAGGCUGUUCUGCAAAAUGUCAAUACACAGCCUCUCCGAAGCCAACACGGUGUGGUGGUUGAAAUGGGAGCCGUGGAGGCUUUCCAAAUAUGAAGGUCUGGAAAUGUUUGGAGGUAUUUUAAUAUUGAUGAAUACUUCAGAUUUUUUUUUUUUCUGUUGCUUCAGUGUAUCAGUGUCAAAUCUGUGCGGAUUAAUGGCAAGACAGAGCCCUAGUACCAUUCGUGUCUAUCAAAGUUCUGGCAAAUGCUAACAACUUACUGCUAUUAAUGAUCACUCUUUGCCCAGAAGUUCACAUAAUUCAUCAAAAAGCCAACGUUGAUAAGCAGAAAGAAAUUAAAUACUUCUGAGUCUUCUGUUAAAAUGCCUUUCUUUUUACUUUGUUUAACAUCUAAUGUCUCCUACAGCAAAAGUAAGCAAGGGGAAGUCUUUUCCUUCUUCAGCACAAAAGAGCACCCACACCACUCAAAAACAGUUGAGAUUAAACCUUUGAAAAGGUAUCAGCAGUGUGUGUAAAGCCAAAUUGGUAAAGUGUGCCCUAGACACCACUUUUGACUCUGGGGAAAAUGCUUUAUCAUCUGUCUACUGCUACGCUCUGCCUAUUCAUCACCAUUACUCAGUAACUCUGCGGUGGCAGCUUUGUACUUAACAUGAAGCCAAAGAUCAGGGAGAGGCACACAUCAAACAAGACUUGAACUUGGAGAUGGCAAACCAUACGUUCUAGACCUCAUUCCUUUAAAGGACCGUACCUCGGAAUGAAACCUGUGAGCCUUUUCUAUAGUUUCAUUUGUUCAAUACAGUGCUCCACUUGUUCUGUAAAAGAAGUUGGCAAAAGCCCUGCUUUCCUGAGAUCUUGUCAUUCAUUGUGACUGAAACCUAAAAGGCUGUCCUAUGGUACUAAGGCAGGUCUGGGGUACCUGAGAGAUCUACCUGCUCCCUAUGCCUCCAUUCCACAUUCUUCACACACCUUGAAACCAAGGAACUGUCAAACACAGAAGCAAAGAUGGCGAGGGGUGUACACCCCCAUUCUUUGCAGCUUUCCAUGGCUGUAAAGUUCCCUGUGAAGUGACCCGAGAAUAUGUACAAUGACAGAAAACUCAUUUCUUCACUCGCCAUUUCUCAACAACAGCCAGUUCCAGCCCUUGUCAUUCUUCUACUUCUCCACACAGACGAAGGCAGGAGAGAAUUCUCUUGGUUUAACUUUAAUAAAUGGGUAAGUCUCACAGGCAUUACAAUGGUAGGAGGAGGUGCAGAAAAGUUGUGUGUGGUUGGGAUACGAUGGAAAUUUCUCUGUUAUUUUAAAAUUAUUUCUUCCUUUAUAAUAGAUCAUUUGUGCUUAUACACUCCUGAAAAUGCUUUUAUAGCAAUCUACAUCAAGUUCUUCCUAAAAAGCAUCCCUCCUCUUUUUGUCUUUUUGUGAAGAAUAGAUUUUUUUUUUACAAUAAAGAUAGUGGUUUAUACAUUUGCUCAUAAUUCUGUAUUUCCCCUGUGAGCUUUAUUACAUGAUAUAGUAUGUCAGUUUAAGUAACGUCUGUCAAGGGAUGGAAAACAAUUACAGGUUCUUUUCAUUCAUGAAAGUCAUUCUGGAGUUUCUUCAUCCUUAAUUUUCUUGUCAUGCUUUCAAAAACAUUACAUCAUUUUGUCCAAAUUCCCCCCUGCAUUGCUUAUACAAGAUACAGUAGGUUAUUAAUUUCUUUCCUAGACCCAAAGAAACACAUCGAAGUAUCUACAGUCGCACGUACUACAUGUUUUAGACCUGGUUAAAGUUGGGCUUUGACAUGUCGUUAUUUGACAAUUACUCUUCUAUUGCAGUGCUUGCUUUCCUGCCAGCAUCUCGCCAGAAUCCUGCAUGACAGGUGAUUCAAUCUCUUGAUCUCAGUUAGAUUUACACGAAUUUUACGCACCCUAAUAUAUAAUGGCAAUGCAUUCACACUGCUGUGGCUAAAAGUCUGUCGAAAUCCCAAACACAUCGUGAGAAUACAUAACAAAUAUAUUCAGGACUAGAACAUGUCAUAUAUUAUCAGCACAGGAAAACAUUCUUUGUUCUUAGAAUCAAAGAACAGCGGAGACUGAAAGGCUCUUGUGAAGAGGAACCUAACUUCCCUCCUCAAUGGUGAGUGUGUUGCUUAUGGCUGUGUUCAGUAAUGUUUCAAAUAUCUCCAAGGCAACCACAGCUUCUCAGGACAACCUGCUCCAGAGUUUGUUCACCCUUACAGUAAAAAGGGUUUAUCUUACAUUUAAAUGGAAUUUGCUGCAUUUCAAUUUGUGCCUGUUGCUGCUUGACUUUUCACUGAGAGGAGUGUGGCUCCACCUUCUCUUCCCCCUCCCAUCAGAUGUUUCUACACACCGAUGAAAUGCCCCCUGAGCCUCCUCCAGGUUGAGCAGACUUGGAUCUCUAAGCCUCUUCUCUUACAUCAGGUGCUCCAGUCUGUCAGUUAUUUCCGUAGUGCUGUGCUGCACUUGUUGCAGUGCAUCCCUGUCUAUUUUGUUCUGGGGAGCCCAGAACUGGACCCAGCACCCCAGAUAUGUCUCACCAGAGCUGAGAAGAGUGGAAGGAUCACCUCAUGUGACCUGUUGGCAAUGCUUUUCCUAAUGCAGCCCAAGCCUUUGCUGCAAGGGCGCCUUGUUGGCUAAUGUUCAGCUGGUUGGAUGCCAGCACCCCAGGGCCUGCUCUGCAAAGCUGCUUUCUAGUUGGUCUCCCACCUGUACUGCCGUAAGAUUAUUCCCUUCCAGGGGCAUGACUCUGUGCUGCUUUGUUGAACUCCGGGAGAUUCUUGUCGGCCCUUUUCUCCUGCAAUUUAUUCAAUUUGCUUUGAUUUAUAAACUUUUAAGCAAUUAGUAUGACUAUUAUCUGGAAAGAUUUUGAUUUCCUGAACUGUGCAGCUUUUUCUAAUUAAACCGUGCAGGUAACAUUAAUGAUAAUAAUCUAUGUCUCUUACUGCCAUAACCAAAAAUGAAUUUUCCUUAAAGACAGUCCCAAGAAUCCUUCUCAGCACAGGUAAGAAUUUUUUUUUCCAUUAGAACUGGACAAAUAUAUGUGUCUAUCUCAAUUCAAGAUUCUUGAAGCUGCAUUUGGUUAUGUAUUUCUUUUCACAAAGCUAUGCUUAAAGCAGAAUUGAUGC